rnacentral:rRNA from 1 species
AGAGCGAACGCUGGCGGCAGGCCUAACACAUGCAAGUCGAGCGCCCGUAGCAAUACGGGAGCGGCAGACGGGAUAGUAACACGUGGGAACGCGCCCUUCGGUUCGGAAUAACUCAGGGAAACUUGAGCUAAUACCGGAUACGCCCUUACGGGGAAAGAUUUAUUGCCGAAGGAACGGCCCGCGUCCGAUUAGCUAGUUGGUGAGGUAAUGGCUCACCAAGGCGACGAUCGGUAGCUGGUCUGAGAGGAUGACCAGCAUCACUGGGACUGAGACACGGCCCAGACUCCUACGGGAGGCAGCAGUGGGGAAUAUUGACAAUGGCGCAAGCCUGAUCCAGCCAUGCCGCGUGGAUGAUGAAGGCCUUAGGGUUGUAAAGUCCUUUUAACGGGAAGAUAAUGACGGUACCCGUAGAAUAAGCCCGGCUAACUUCGCGCCAGCAGCCGC